AUACUUACCUGGUAGGGGUGAUACCAUGAUCAAGAAGGUGGUUCAUCCAUGGUAAGGCUCAGCCAUUGCACUCUAAGUUGAGCUGACCUGUGUGAAUUCUCCAAAUGAGGGAAUCUCAACUGCAAAAUUUCUGACAGUGGGGGACUGUGUCUGUGCUCUCUCCCA
ensembl:snRNA U1 U1 spliceosomal RNA